UGAUUUGCAUUUGCAAAGCAAGUCUGUUCAGUUUGGUCUGAGGCUGAAAGUCACGUGUGUAGAAGCGUGUAGACGUGUGGAGAAGAAAAAUACCUCCUCUAGACCUCGUCUCGGCUCGUGUGCGGUCGCUUCGGACGACGUUCCAGCUCUUCGUUCCUGGACCUUGUUUCUGAAUCUAAGCCUGUACUGAAUGUGUCUCGUUUCACUGUCUUUAAAAUCAUAGAAUAAUCUUGUUUCUGCUCUCCACCUGAGUAAAGUCUUCUGUGUAGGACGCUGUCUUACUCAUCCACUGCUUCUAUUGUGGUGCACCAGGGGAUGAGUUGGAGUCUCGGUCUGAAAGGAAUGCCCAGGAACCCUUUGUUUUUUCACUUUUCUGAGUCACACAGGGAUCCCCAGGUCAGACAUUAAGCACAGAGUGAGAAAGUACCAGAAGUGACACGAUGACUCAAAGCUACGUGUGGGGAAUGGAAACAGAGGGUGGACCAUCAGUCAUAAGCACAACUCCGCACUAAUAUCAGAUGCUUUUCAUCAAUGCUUACCUCAGGCUAAACUUUUGUAUGAUACACAACUCACAGUCCAGUUUUUUCUCUGGUCAUUAUUUGGAAGGGAAACUUUUUUUGUCACAACAACACCUUUUUUUUUUUUUUUUUGGCAAGAACAAAACAUCCUGUACUGAAACGAUCACAAAUCACAGAUGGUUCCAAUGUACAACCCACUUGAACAUUUCAGUAUCUUCCUCCCUCAAACUCACCACCCAAGAGCUGUAGAAGCCCAGUAUGAAAGCUUUAUGUAAAUUACUGAUCAGAAGGUUGGGGGUUCAAGCCCCAGUACCACCAAGCUGCCCCAAGCUGUUGGGUUCUACUGUUGGUUCUAUCUUGUUCUCUGACCUGGAAAUCCUAAGAAGCUUAGAAAAUAAUUUCUAUAGACGUGACAAAUAAAGGCUGGUUCUUCUAUUGAUGUUCAAGCUUCUACUGCUGGUUCCAUCCUGAUGCCCUGCUCAUGAUAUUGAGUAGUUCUUGUUGCUUGUACAGUAGGCUGCUCACUGCUUCUGAGGAUGGACAGCUUCUGCCCACAUGGACUAUUUAGAAACUAUGAAGAUGGCUUUGGACUGCAGUUAACGGUUUUCCACUCAAACCUCCAUCAUUUACAUUUACAUUAAGAUUACCGCCAUUUUGGCAGAUUCCCUUAUCCAGAGCUCUCCAUCAGUGAAUACAUUAACGCUGGUUCACCAGGUCACAGCCUAAGAAUACCAUCAGGGUAUUAGUUUUUUUUUUAGAUUAAAUAGAUAAACAGGGAAAAAAUAAGUUUUAGUUGCAAGAGGUUGGUCUUCACUCGUCAUUUGAAGAUAGCCAGUGACUCAGCUGUUCAGACAUAUUGGGGAUGUUCAUUCCACCCCCUCGGUGCAAAAACAGAAAAGACUCUUGAUGCAUACUUACCUCUUACCCUGAGAGAUGGUGGGACCAGUCGAGCAGUGAAGAAGACUGUGCAGAGUGAACAGUUGCUCUUUUUCACCAUAUAGUACAUCAUUAUACAAGGGAAAUCGUUUUAUAAUCAUUUUAUCUGUCUGGUGUCACCCAAAUGGAGUCUGGAUCCUCUAACGGUCAUCUCAGGUAGUUUUACCUCACCACCGUCACCUCUGGCUUGCACAAUAGGGAUAAACUAAAUGUCUCUUAUGAAUUUAUAUAUUUCUAUAACGCUUUUUUGUGAUGAUGUCCAUUGUUAAAAACUAUACAAAUAAAAUGG